AGAUAAGACCUGAGUAACUUUUUGCUCUCGAAACUCGUCAAAAGCCUGUUAUCAGAACCACAAGAAGAGGAACAAGGGUUUCAGGUUUUCGUGCUCUUACCAAGAAGACGUUGCUGUUGAUGCUGGAAUGCCCUGAAACUGCACCACUUUGGGACGACAUCAAACACCAGAGAAACUACAUCCAAGGAAAGAUAUACAACCAAGUAGAAACUUAAUCACAGCAGCACAGAGAAGGGCACAGCAGAAACAAAACUUGGAGGAAAAGGAUUGCAUGAAGACCACAAGAGGAACAAAUGAAAGAGGAAUCAAUGGAAACAGAACACAAUACAAGCAGUUUAGUGUACAUGAACAAAACUUUGAGAAAAAGCCGUUUCAAUUCGGGCGAUUCACGAUGCAGUGUGCCAGCAAGAGGCAUAGCGUUCUGCCGCCUUACCAAAAAUCACCAUAUAUGAUCAAAAGAAAAGAAAAGGGCAAA